ensembl:lncRNA
UUACUGACUUUUACGGCACACAGAUUACAUCUCCAUAAGGUUCUUUGUAAACUUCUUUAAAGUGCUCUUUUACGAUUUUAGCAAUGGGUGCUCAAGUUGCUUCAGUCAUGUCUGACUUUUUGCGACCCCAUGGACUGUAGCCUGCCAAGAUCCUCUGUCCAUGGGAUUUUCCAGGCAAGACUACCGGACUGGGUUGCCAUUUCCUUCUCCAGGGGAUCAUCCCGACCCAGGGAUUGAACCCGCAUCUCCUGCGGCUCCUGCAUUACAGGAAGAAUCUUUACCGCUGAGCCACCUGAGAAGCUUAGCAACGGAAAGCCUAUCUGAUUUUAUUGUGGAAGACUUCAUUUAG